AUUCCAUGAUGAGGACACUUUCAAACCAUCUCUUUGUAGCGUUCCCAAGUUUCACAUAAAGUUUCACAGACUGCUGAAAAAAUUAAGUGAGAGCAUUCUUGAUUGC
rfam:Daucus carota subsp. sativus cultivar DH1 chromosome 5, whole genome shotgun sequence.